rnacentral:rRNA from 1 species
CAGGCCUACGGGGCGCAGCAGUAGGGAAUUUUCGUCAAUGGGCGCAAGCCUGAACGAGCAAUGCCGCGUGAACGAGGAAGGUCUUCGGAUCGUAAAGUUCUGUUGAAGGGGAAAAAGAGCGGAGAGAGGAAAUGGUCUCCGAUUGAUAUUACCCUUCGAGGAGGUCACGGUUAACUACGUGCCAGCAGCCGCGGUAAUACGUAGGUGGCGAGCGUUAUCCGGAAUGAUUGGGCGUAAAGGGGGCGUAGGCGGUCUG